AUCAGUACUUUAUGAUGUUGAUGAGCCAACUGUUCGGAGUCUUAAUGGUUGCAGGGUGGCAGAUCAAAUACUGAGGCUCGUGCCGAAUGUUGAGAAUUUUCGCACAACUCUUCGCUGUUUAAAGCUCUGGGCUAAAAGAAGGGGCGUAUAUUCAAAUGUUACUGGAUUUCUUGGAGGUGUCAACUGGGCGUUGUUGGUCGCUCGUGUCUGUCAGUUGUAUCCUAAUGCUGUCCCAAGUAUGUUACUUUCACGUUUUUUCAGAGUGUAUACACAGUGGAGGUGGCCCAACCCUGUGAUGUUGUGCGCCAUCGAAGAAGAUGAGCUUGGAUUCCCUGUAUGGGACCCACGGAAGAACCCCCGAGACCGGACGCACCAUAUGCCCAUCAUUACCCCUGCAUACCCUUCUAUGAAUUCCAGCUAUAACGUCUCAACUAGUACUCUCCGGGUAAUGAUGGAGCAAUUUCAGAAUGGUAACAAAAUUUGCGAGGAAAUAGAGCUGAACAAGGCGCAAUGGGGUACUCUUUUUGAGCCCUACCUAUUUUUUGAAGCAUACAAGAACUAUCUCCAGGUAGACAUUAUUGCUGCUGAUGUUGAUGAUUUACGAAAUUGGAAAGGAUGGGUUGAAUCCCGACUGAGACAGUUGACUUUAAAGAUCGAGAGGGACACCUGCGGAAUGCUGCAAUGCCAUCCAUACCCCUGUGAAUAUACUGACUGCUCCAAGCAAUUUGCACACUGUGCCUUCUUUAUGGGCUUGCAGAGAAAACAGGGGGUCAAGGUCCAGGAAGGGCAGCAAUUUGACAUAAGGGGAACUGUAGAUGAGUUCAGGCAUUCUGUGAACAUGUAUGUCUUCUGGAAGCCAGGGAUGGAGCUAUAUGUUUCUCAUGUUCGUCGGAAACAGAUUCCUCCUUUUGUCUUCCCAGAAGGGUAUAAGCGACCUAGGCCAUCCCGACAGGCGAGCCAGCAGAGACCCGAUGAUGAUGGUGGUGCUGGAUCGAACUCUCGUCCUAAGAGGAAAAAAGACAUGGAUGCUGAUGAUGCAAAGAUUAAAAGAUCGGAG
rnacentral:misc_RNA from 1 species